UGAAAAGAGUUUCGGGAGGUGAAAAUUGGAGUGAGUAACACUUGAUUAAUGACUGCAAGGAUUAUUUUGGUUUAUUUCGGAAGACACCUUCAAUGACAGGCACAAUGGUGCUCACCAGCAAACUGAAUAAUUCUGUCAGCAAGCGAAUCAACAAGCAAACGAGACAGCAAAACCCUGACUUCUAUCCCCACUCUUCGCUCUCACAAACACACACACCAGCAAGUUCAAGUUUGUGAGGCAGGAUCCCAUCCCAUUCAAGGCCCCAAACCAGCAGACUGCAAAUAAGAAGAAGAACAAUGAUGAGGGUGCCCAACAACAGCGCCAACUUGCUGAUUCCCCCUCACACAGUCGCAGAAUUCCAUAUACGCGCCUUAUAUAGCGAGGGAACAGGCUAUGUACCCAACUUUGUACCGAACUUUGGCGAUCCGAUGCGAACGAAUGUUCCAGCUUUACG